ACGAACGCUGGCGGUGUGCUUAACACAUGCAAGUCAACGAGAAUUUAUCUUCGGAUAAUAGUAAAGUGGCGAACGGGUGAGUAACGCGUAAAUAACUUGCCUUGGAGAUUGGGACAACAUUGGGAAACCAGUGCUAAUACCAAAUAAUGCAGCGGGCCCUUCGGGGCAUAGUUGUUAAAGUAGGCUUCGGCUUACACUUCAAGAUAGAUUUUGCGUCCGAUUAGUUAGUUGGUAGGGUAAUAGCCUACCAAGACCGAGAUCGGUAGCUGGUCUGAGAGGAUGAUCAGCCACACUGGAAUUGAGAUACGGUCCAGACUCCUACGGGAGGCAGCAGUGAGGAAUUUUUGC
rnacentral:rRNA from 1 species